GCAAGAUGCAACACAGACACACACACAUUAGAAUAAUGAUCAUAAAAGAGAGAAAAGCACUAUAAAAGGAGUUUAAUGUGGUUUGGCUAUGUGCUUGCAUCAAUGGUGAGCCACUUACAAAUUUUCACUAUGAAGGAGAACAUUAAAAGUGUCUAGUUUAUAGAGAUACUGGGCUGAGAAACUCAAUGCCACUAUUUUUGAACAACUUGGGUUGGUCCUUCUUUUUUUGCAUUACAAAUACAUAAAUAAUGGAGAAAUUGGAUUCAAUUGUCAAAUGCUCCUAUUGGAAAUAGAGGUUGUUCUUUUACACUUAGGAAUAGGAAAAGCUCACAAUUUACAAAAACGUCCCUCAUAAUCAGAAUUGCCCCAGUUUAUCUAAAUUGUACCAUUCUCUCCUCAAGCUUUUGAUGUGCAUUAUUUUCUCCAAAAUAUGAACCAAAACCCACAAACUCAACAAACCUCACCUUUUUCAGCUAGAUGAAUUGAUAUUAUUAUGCAAUUUUGAAAGCUUGAGGCAGGCAUGGAUGACACAGAUAAAUCCAAUCCAUGGUGCUGGCCGCCCAUCUGAUUGGUUGGAAUAACUUUCUAGCAAUUAUUGAGCUCAUACUCAUCAGUAAAAGGAACAAAAUUGAUGGCUGUUGAGUUUAUGGUUAUUGAGAGACAAUGUGGGCUGACAGGACAGAGAGUAGAGAUUGGGGUCCAUUUCCAUCAUGAAAUUAUAUCCUGAUGGCAAUCCAUUUUUCUUUACAAUGCAUUAAUGCAUGGUAAUUAUUCCGAGAACUGUAACAACCAUGCUUCCAUUUAAUGUAUUUGUGUUAUGUGUUGGACUGGUGCUCAUGUGUUUUACUCAUAAUUUUCAAAGUCACUAAUUGUCUUGGGUGGGUGAGGAUAUAACUUCAAUUGUACCAGGAUUUGUUACCCUGGUUCUAACUUUUUGAUCCUUAAAUGGAUUAACUUAAAAAAAUUGUCUUUCCCAUCACAUUAAGAGAUUUUGAAGGAUAUGCAUUCUGUUGGCGUCUUAUCUUCUGUUUUGUUCUUGGUCUUGCUUAUCAUAUUCUAUCUAGCAGGUUCUAAACCAUUUAGAAGGUGU
rnacentral:misc_RNA from 1 species